CUUGCUCUAAUUUAACUUGUUGCUUAUUUUGCUGUCAACAGUUGAGGACAAUUGACCCUUUCCCUCACCUAACAUCAUCUGCAGCAUCUGAAGGCUGCCAGCACUGCAGCCCCCAUCCCCUCUCCUGCAUUGCUUCUCCGUCUGCUCAGAGCUGUCACCUCCUGCUUGUGGGGACAAAACCAUGUUUAAAGAAAUGUUCCCAGAAGAUACCUAAGCAGCCCAAGAAGCAAUUGCUAUUGCAGUAAUCAUACCCAGGAUUGUGGAGUGAGCAGGACCUCAGGGAGCUAGAGUUUUCAACAGAGUUAGUUGGCUGCCUGCUGCUGGAGGAAAUCUAGGCAGUUACUCGAGACACAACCAUGACUUUGUGUAGAUUUUCAGUUAACAGCAUUUUCCAUGGCCUUUCUUUUUGAGGUCCCAUUUCUAAACUGCUGUCAGCCUGGACCUCAUCACGGCCAGCUGUACAGGAUUCCUGCAGUGCAUGCUGCUGUGCCUGUCUGCAGCUCCAGCUCUCAUGCCCAUGUGCUGAAUGGGCACUGUUUGCUGAGGCACUGUGGGACACCUUGAGCAUGAGAAGACAAUGAAGGAUUACCUUUUCAGGGUAAUCCAUCUUCUUAGCUUUAUUCAAGUGUUUGUGCACCUUGCAGGUGAGUGCAGUUUCACCUGAGGAGGUUGUUGUGUUUGUGUGAGGAGGUUGUUCUGUCUAUGUUCAGCGAUCUAUGCUGGUGACUUGUUGAUGUCUUCUGUAGUUUAUGGGAUGUUUGCUAGACCUCCUAGGCCUGAAAGAUUUUGUCAUCGCUUAGAUGAUUCUAAGUAGUGGUAACAGUGCAAUACCAAAAGGACAUAUACUUCAUGCUGAAAUUCACUUCCUGUCCUUCAAGAUAUAUAUUAAACAGACUUUAAAAGGAAAGUUUUAAGUGAACUUUGUUAUCUGAGGGUAAAACUCAGAGUCUGGAUAAACAAGAGAAUAAAUCCAACAGUACAUUAGGAAAGAGGGAGUAAUUAUUAUUUUAAAAUGUAACCUCAUGAAUUUCUUAUCUAAACUGGAAAUUCCUUAAAGACAGAAACGUGUUUGAGCUCUGCAGUACAGAUGUUCCCUCCAUUUUACAAGUACAAGCACAGGGGUACAGACAGAGGGAAACUAAAUGACAGACAUGAGAAAAAAAGUGCUGAGGUGCAGAUUCAGCUGUAAAUUAAUCGAUGGAAGCAGAGAGAGAUGGGGGACAGGGAGUCCCUCUGGGAGAUGGUCUGAAGUGGAGCUCUGGGUGACAGCGGCUGGAGCCACCACAUAGCCCCAAACUUCCCCUGAGCUCUGAGCAUGAUCUUACAGCAACUGUCUCGGGCUGAAAUUCUGGGAGGAAUGGGGCUAGGAAAACCCCUAUGGAUACCAAAGCCACUGCUGGCACACACGGCCAAGGAGCAAGUUGCCAACAUUUUCCUACAGUUUUCUUCUACAUCGUUUGCUCCCACUGCUGCUACUGAUUUCCACGAGAUGGAGCUAUUCUAACGUGGAUUUGACUUGGGAACACGUG